rnacentral:misc_RNA from 1 species
GUUUAUCAUCACCCCCUCACAAUCGUCCCUCCCCUCCGGCAUCGCCGCCAACUCCCCCCAUUCAUCCCUCCUCACAUCGUACCAUGCCGCCGAUGUCAGCACGUUCCUCUUCUCACCGUGCCCACCAGCGACGUAGAUACGAUCAGAGUUACCGCUUGCGGCAGCAAAUGACGACCUCGCCACCGGCAUGUCGCUCCCCCUGUGCCACAUGCCGGUGGCGAAGUUAUAGACCCAGACUGCACGGAUUGGAUUCCAGGUGUUGGGGUCCCACCCGCCUAAAACUGCCAGGCGGACGCCGCAGGCGGCGAGCUGGCUGAAGAGAGGGAGAGUAAAGGGGAGUGGGGAGAGGUGGGACCACUUGUUGGAGAGGGGAUCGAAGACGGUGAUGGAGUAGGAGAGGAGGGAGGUGGGUUUGGGGAUGGCUUGGAUGAAGCAGGCGAGGGGGCUGGUAUUGCGGGUGCGGCGGCGCUCGCGGUAAAAUUCGGGGGUGGAGACUAGGUGGUGCCAGCGGUGGGAAACGCGAGUCGCGUUACGAUGGGAGGAAACGGGAAGGCGGAGGAGGCACUGGAGGGAUAUCUCUUCAGGCAAUGAUGGGAUGAGCUCAGUCUUCAUCGC